GUUGCGUCACUGAAAAAGAACGAGUGCCAUUUUGCAGUCCACCACAAUGCAGUGUUUGUCUAAUUGAGAAUUUUGACACGAUACAGGUAAAUUGCAUUGAGAUACUGGAAAGGGAUGAAUGGGGACUAAAAUACUCUAUGAUGCGAGCUAAUUAUGGUUCUUCACUGGAAUUGGACAAUUGCGAAUUGUUUCUUCACUGCGAUGUGGUCCUUAUUGAUGUGUUCU
rnacentral:lncRNA from 1 species